UCCCUUUUGAGUCAGGAUUGAGCAUGCUGCCCCUUUUACUACCUCUCAUCAGCUUCUCUACCUCCUUUCCAGGUUUGAUGGGAGCUCCCACCUGUCCAGACAGUGUGCAAAGCACCAGAAGUAGAGGCCUACAAGCCUGCUUCUCUCCAUCUUCAUUGUCCAGAACCAGGCAGGUCAUCAGCUUCCUGUGCCCACCUCUGCCCUUCUUGCUGCCAGAUAUGGAAAUGGAGACUGAGAGAGGAGAAAUCAGUUCCUGGGUUUGGAGAGCUCCUGGGAACACAAGGAAAGGGAAGAACAGGCCUGAAGUAGAUAGAGCCCAUGAGCAAUCUGCCUACAGAUCUCGGACCUGGAAUCAGAAAGGAAGCCUCUGGGUACCUAUGAGAGGAUGCGUGGCGAAGGUCCUCCUUGGAAGCAUGAUGUUGAAUGUGUCUUUGUUGAGGUCUGAAGAAACUGAGGCCAUGAUGAGUGAGCCGUCUAUUCUGGAGGGGUAA
ensembl:lncRNA